UAGUAUGGGUGUUGCUGGUGGCAUCUUUUGGGUGAUAGGUGAUUGUGACUCUCUACCAUCUUCGACUCUGUCAAUGGCUUCAACAGUCUUCACCUCCCCGUCACACUCUUCUUCUUCUUCUGUUCUGUUCCCGCCUCCCGUUCACUAAAAUCAAAAGCCCUCUUUCAACUCCUUUUCCCCCACAUAGAAGACGCUUCAAUGUCAUUUCCAUGGCUCCCCCAAGUCCGGUGGUAAAGCCAAGAAAGAGAGAUCCAAAAUCCUGCGAGUCACGCACUCUAUAAUCCUCGACUCUUCUGCUGCCUCCAUAGCUUCCCUCAAUCCAAUGUGCUCGAAGCCUACACCCGCCUAGGAAAAGUCGCGAAGUAACCCUUCCUUAUUCUUUCCUUCAUUUCUUUAUUCAAAUUUUUAUCUCAUUGAAUUUAUUGAUAUGUGGAUGCUUUGUAUGGCAUUGUUUAUGAUAUUAGGCUUCUUGCUGAGAAGGUAUCAAUUCCCAUUUCAUUCUUUUUCUUUUGGAAAUUUAUUGUGAGGUUUUGUGCCAUGGUAGUCUGAUAGAGAGUUAGCUUCAAAUGGGAAAUUCCCAGAGCUGGUUCGUUUCUUAUAAAACUAUUUGGUGUUCUUGCGGUAUGUAUUCUUCUACAUAAUGGUUACUGUUUCUACUUUUGGUUCUUGAUUUAAAAAGAACAAGAAGAUGAAGAAUAUUUUGGAAUUCAAAACACAGUUCAUGAAAGUGAGGUUUUUUUGAAAGGAAAAUUUAGCUACUUUCUUUAUAGUAAUAGCAUUUUGUGUAAGGAAAUUGGAAAUAACUACGCAUUGAAUUUCAAUUCUAACAGAGACUAUAAUGUUAUAGGAGCCUUUUAUAUUUAUAAAUUAUAAUCAUAAUCACAAGUAGGAUUAUCUAUUGUAAGACCUUGGUAAAUGCUUAUUGUGGAUGAGAGCACUAUGAAUUUAGGUUUGUUGGACAUUGCUGGUGAGUUAGUUCACUAUUUAUCAAGUUUUGUUUUAGGAGGUCUUGGUUUUUCUCUUUUUUUUGAAAUAGGCCAAUAAGAUUAUAAUAGAUUUCCUUUAAGCUAUCGUGGAGCUAAUGAAAAUUAAAUGUGAUUAUUAUGUUGAAAUUAUGCUUUUUAAAUAUUUUCUUUGGUUUAGAGAAUGUAUCCAUUUAUUUUAAAUUUGGAUGAUUGAAGAAAACAACAAAAGUGACUUCGUAAAUUUAGGGUUUAGGGUUUUUCCCUGUAGAGUUUCAAUUUUUAUUGUGUUAUGAAUUCUCUUAAUUGGUCGUCUUUGCUGUGGGCAAGUGUUCUUUUACUUGAUAAUUGAUGAGGAUAACAUUUGAUCUAAUCAAUAACAAUUGAUUAAAAUUGCAUCUUAGGUUUUGCCAGAGCUGUUAACUAAAAGCUAAACCCUAAAAGCUAUGAAGUACAAUUUCAUAAAGUAGUUUAGUUAUAAAUGAUCUUAAUUAGUUUAUUGUUUGCUCCUGUUAGUUGUCUAUCACUAUGUUAUUGUGCUAUAACUUUAUUGCAAUUUACUUGAUUUAGAUCUUUUUCCCCUUCACAAAAUUGAGAAAGUAUAAAUAAGCUUAGGCAAAGUGAGUAGGUGAGUUAAGGAGAGUAGGCAAGUCUAUGGGAGUGGGUGGUGAUAUACAUUUCUAAAAUAAUCAUAUCUCUUGACUAUAUUGUUGAAUCCUAAUAUUCCAGCAAAUAACUACUCUAUUGUAUACCAAAAAUAGUCAUCGACAGUUACUAGGUUAUAGCCAACGUUAUAAACUUAGUUUCUUUGUUUUUCAAUUCAUUGUGCUACUUUCUCUUCUUUUUGUUCUCUUUCUGUUCCCUUUAGUGGGUGAGAGAUUUUAGGAAGAAGUCAUGCUAUAAUAGUAUAGUAGAUAGAAAUGUUUGACUGAGAAAAGAGUUGGACCAUCGAAAAUAUAAUCAUUUCUCCUAACAAAUUUUUUCAUUGUGAUGGAACUGUUCUUCCGCCUUUUUUUUCCAAUAAACUAUGUAUAGAAUUAGUAUUGGUUGAAUUCUUCAUUUUUGGUAUGAUCUAUAGUUAAAUUAUAUUUUAAUAUAUAAAUACAUCUAUGUUUUUUUCAAUUACUUUUAUUAACUAGCAUUGCUUUGGUUCUUCACUUAUCUAUACAAAUUAAUUUGCUUCUAUUAAUUGUAAAUGUCAUCACAUCGUGUGCAAAAGAAACAGGUUCAUUCAAUGAAGUUUAAAUUUGUGCCAUGUAAAUUAUAUUGUAUUGAAUUUAAACACUUAUAUGCUUAUAAUCCUUAAUCACUGCUUCUAUCUUAACUUUUAUUUACUAAGCAAAUUUAGCAACAUAUCAGAUUCGAAUUUAAAUUAAACCUAAACACUCUAUAUAUUACUUUAGUAUUUAGGUAUUUAAGAUUUAGGUUUUAGAGUUUAGGGGUUGGGUUUAUGGUUUUAUAGUUUUGGGUUUCAUGGUUUAGAGUUCAGAGUUUUAGAUUUUACGAUUUAGUGUUUUUGGGUUUUAGUCAUGUGGUUUUUGAUUUAGAAGUAUGUUUUAUCGUUUAUUAUUUAUGGGUUUAUGGUUUUUUGGUUUGAGGUUUUGAUAGUUAGGGUUUAGGAUUUUAUGGUUUAGGAUUGUGGUUUUUGCGUUUUUGCGUUUUCGGGCUUAGGAUUUAUGUUUAGGAUUUAGGGGUAGGGAUUUAGAGUUUAAGUUUUAGGGUUUAGUGUGUAGGUAUUUUUGUUUAGGUUUUAGGAGCUACGGGUUAGGGUUUAUGUUUAAUGUUCAGGACUUAAGUGUUUAGAUUUCACUGUUUAGGUUUUAGAGUUUUGGAAUUAGAAUUAGUUUUUAUUGGUGAGGGUUUGGAGUUUCGUUUUUCUCGAGUUAGGGUUUAGGACUUAGUGUUUAUAGUUUAGAAUUUACGGUCUAGAGUUUAUAUAUUAAAAUAUAUAAUUAUCUUUCAAUAAUUUUCUAAGCAAAUUAGCUUAAAUUAAGCAUUGAUAAUAUAAAGUUUUUGUUAUUAUUAUAUCAUAUUGGAUAGUUAUUUUUAAAUUCUUCAUCUUUAUUUAAAUAUAAAUUAUAUUCUAUAUAUGUUUUAAUAUCAGUGUUCAUAAAAAUGUUUUUGUUAUCCAUAUAAAUCAAUUUUACAUUACGUUAAUCGCUUAAUUAUCAUAUUUUUUAUGUUAAUCGAUUUUAAAUUUUUAUGUCAUCUAUAUUCAAAGAUAGAAUAAAAAUCUAAACCAUAUACAACUUUUAAAUAUUAAUCAAAUAAAAUUCAAUUGCUUAAAUUUGAAUAAAUUAUAAUAAUUCGGACGUUUUUUUAUGUUGAUUCAUUUAAUAAAUAUGGCAAAUAAAAUAUAUAUAACUUAUAAAUGGUGAAUUAUUUCAUUAUAAUUUUCUUUUUGUUUUUUUUCCUUUUAAUUAUAUAAUUAGAAUUAAAGUUUAUCUAUUUUAAAUUGUAUUAACUUAUUACUUUAGUAUUUAGGUAUUUAAGAUUUAGGGUUUGUGUGUAUGGUUUAGGUUUUAUAGAACUGGAUUUAUGGUUUUAUAGUUUUGGGUUUUAUGGUUUAGUGUCUUGGAUUUUAGGAAUUUAGUCAUAUGGUUUUUGAUUUAGGGGUUUUGGAUUUAUGUUUUAUCGUUUAUUAUUUAUGGGUUUGUGGUUUUUGAAUUGCGAGUUUUAUAUUUAGAAUUUACAUUUAGGAUUUCAUGGUUUGGGAUUAUGGUUUUUGAGUUUUUUGGUUUAGGGUUUAAGGUUUAUUGUUUAUGGUUUUUUGUUUAGGUUUUAGGGUCUACGGGUUAGUAUUUAGAUUUUAAAUCAAGGUUUAGUGUGUAGGGUUUAUAGCUUGUGAUUAGGGUUGGUUUUUAUUGGUGAGGGCUUGGGGGUUUGUUUUUACGGGGUUAGGAUGUAGGGUUUAGUCUAUGAAGCACGGACACUUUGCUGAGUUGUCGUAUGCGUGUGUCGGACACAUUUCGAACACGACACUCACCGACACUUGUCUGACACGCGUGUCUGCUGUGUCCAACGAUGUCUUAAUAAAAAAUAAAAAAUUCUUCUUCGGACAUACUUGGACACACCUAAAUACCAUAACGUGCCAGCGAGUCCAGUCUUAUUCUUAACAUAUAUUCUUGAAAUAAAUUUAAAUAUAGUAUAUAUUAUUAUUUAUUAAAAUAAAAAAUAUUUUAAAUAUUUGAUAUAAUUAAAAUAAGACAUUAAAAAUAAUUAAAAAAAUUAAUUUAUAUUUUAAUAUCAAUAAAAUAUCAAAAUGUCAUUACAAUUUAUCUAAAAAAUACUUUAUAUUUUAUAUAUAUGCGUGUUCUCGUGUCUUAUAAGAUUUUAAAAAUUCACGUAUCGGCGUGUCCCGUGUCCGUGCAUCAUAGGGUUUAGUGUUUAUAGUAUAUUUUUGGUGUCAGUGUUUAUAGUAUAUGGUUUACGGGACAGGGUUUAUAUAAUAAAAUAUAUAAUUUUCUAAGCAAAAUAUAUAGUUGUUUUUAAAUUCUUUUUUUUUUAAAUCAAAGACAUGGUAUUUUAUUGCAUUAAAAAAGAAAACAAAUAUAAAUCAAUACAUCUGUGUUGGGAUUUUCCAAAAGACAAAAAAUGAGUAGUAAACUAAGAAGAAGCUUUCAGAAGCUUGAAGUAAGGAAAAUAGAAGCAAGAAGAAAUGAGAAGCAAAAAAGGAAAAAGCAGGCUGUUGUUGAGUGGAAAGAGAAAUAGCUCACAGUUCUUCUUCAACCUGCUCCAUUGAGACGAGCUCUCUGAAGCCUUCUGAAUUCCUCUGCUGCUUGAGAAGCUUGAGACAGAAUUUCGUCAGUGCAUAUUCUCCUUUUCUCAACAAUAAAGCCAUUCUUAGCUAGCCAUGAUUGCCCCAGUAGGUAUUAUGCUCGCUAAAUCGGAGCUAUUCCAUGCGUUCAUCACUGCGAAGCAGAAUACUGUAGUGCGGAGCGGUUUCUGGAGGGCUGACAGAUCGGACAUGUGAGGGUCUUUUCUUGAAGGCAUUCAUGGAGGUUAUCCACAGGGGAACGAAAAAAUUGGUAUGCCACAUUGUAUCCAGAGUUGACUGAGUAAGCACCAGAAGUGUGAAGUGUCCAUUUCAUUGUAUGAUAGGAAUUUGCUGGAUUUGCUGAGCUAUUUCAGUACUAAAGUUGCGGCUGAGCAGUUGGGGGUUCCAGUCUCCAUUCUCUGUAAUGAGUUGUCGCACCCAGAAAGAUUCAUGCAGAAAUUGCUGGAUAUUCUAUGUAUGCUACCCAAAACAAAUGCUUGGUGAUUAUAGAAGGCACAUAAUGAUCUAUCAAAUCCAGUAUGGUUUUUAUGAUUGUUGUUACUGAUGGGAGCAGAUUUCUGGGACUUGGAGGUCUUGGAGUUCAUGGAACUGGCAUUGCCAUUAGGAAGCUCGAUAUGUAUGUUGUAGCUGUUACUAUAAAUCCCCAUAUGAUAUAAUGUUGCAUAUCACAAGUAAGAUUGCAAUGUGAUCACAUGAGUUUUUGUUUGUGGGACAGUGUUGGUGAGUUAUUUCACUAUUUAUCAAUUUUUUUUUUUUGGAGGGAUGUUCUUGGUUUUUCUCGGUUUUUUUAAAUAGGCUAAUAAUAUUACAAUAGAUCAAUACCUUUAAGCUACCGUGUAAAUAAUGGAAAUUAAAUAUGAUUAUUAUGUUUAAUUAUGAGUUUUAAUAUUAUAGUAUGUAUAAGUAACCACUGAGAAGAUAGUUGGUGCA